rnacentral:rRNA from 1 species
UCGAGAAUCUUCGGCAAUGAGCGCAAGCUUGACCGAGCGACGCCGCGUGCGGGAUGAAGGCCUUCGGGUUGUAAACCGCUUUGGUCCGAAAGAAAGGGUAAAACUUGAUCGAUCGGAGAAACAAGGACGGGCUAAGUUCGUGCCAGCAGCCGCGGUAAGACGAACCGUCCAAACGUUAUUCGGAAUCACUGGGCUUAAAGGGCGCGUAGGCGGCCGAGCGGGUCGUGGGUGAAAUCCCCCAGCUUAACUGGGGAACUGCUUACGAUACCACUGCGGCUCGAGGAAGGAAGGGGCAAUGGGAACUGUCGGUGGAGCGGUGAAAUGCGUUGAUAUCGACAGGAACGCCUGUGGCGAAAGCGCAUUGCUGGUCCUUUUCUGACGCUGAGGCGCGAAAGCCAGGGGAGCAAACG